rnacentral:rRNA from 1 species
AAUCAACGCUGGCGGCGUGCCUAACACAUGCAAGUCGAGCGAGAAAAGGGUAGCAAUACCCUGAGUAAAGCGGCGCACGGGUGAGUAACACGUGGGUAAUCUGCCCUGGAGUGGGGAAUAACACCGGGAAACCGGUGCUAAUACCGCAUACGAUCACGAUGUCUGCGGAUGUUGUGAUGAAAGGAGCAAUUCGCUCCAGGAGGAGCCCCGCGGCUGAUAGCUAGUCGGUGAGGUAAUGGCUCACCAAGGCAACGAUCAGUAGCCGGUCUGAGAGGACGGUCGGCCACACUGGAACUGAGACACGGUCCAGACUCCUACGGAGGCAGCAGUGGGGAAUUUUUGGCAAUGGGCGAAAGCCUGACCAAGCAACGCCGCGUGGGUGAUGAAGUAUCUCGGUACGUAGAACCCUUUCGAC